AAUAAAAUACGACACAGUUGAACAUGAUCGGUUAUUAUUCAUCGUCGACAAAUUGCACGUACCUUGCAACUUACAUUAUAAUAACUAUGAUACAAAAGACACUAAAUCGUAAUCGUAUAAUCAUAAUAGAGAACCGUAGUCGUAAUGUGGAUGACGAUUGGCGCUAAAAGUGUAAUAGAGGAGAAGAAACAUUUAACAGAAUAGAGUAUCUUCCGACAGGUCCAUCCGCCAUCGGAUAAUAAUUCUCCACGCGAUGAGUAAUUAAAUCGUCAACAAUCCGGAUUUUACAGAGCCAUUUUUAUAUUCACGAUAAUCGGAGCUUUGCGGCAUAAUUAAAUACUGGUAGAGCCGAAUCGUCCGGAGGUUUAUCGAUCGACAUUACAGAUCAGUCGUUUGCAAUACAAUUAAGUCACCGACCCUCUGGUGGCCGCCAUUUUCUCGCCAAAACUAAUUACUCAGAGGAUAACUUUAUGCGUCAUAUAUAUAAUAUAUAUAUAUAUAUCAUUUCUUGUAAUAUAUUUAAAUACUUUACGGAGAUAGUUUUGACGAAGAGUUACCGCAAACGCGUCACACUAAAUGUCUUCGAGAUUUGUAGACAACAAAUACCACUGUGACGUAUGUUUCUUCCAUUUUUUUUUCUUUCUUUCUUUCUUUAAUAUAGCACACGAGAAUUAUCGUUCAUUUUCGACUUGCAAGAGCAGCUCUGACGACCCGACGUUCGAAAAUCCUUGAAAUUAUUAUUUGGAAAAAUUAUUCUUGCAAUAACAAAUGUCAUUUCGGGACGAACUGUACCUGAUUUUAUUUUUCAAUUGAUUGAUAGUAUUCGGAAUGUAUACAGGGCGAGCGUAACGAUUUUGAGAAUGGGUGGGGCUUGGUUGCCACGACGCCACGCCCACUUGCUCGUGUCGGCCAAUCGGAUCAGCCGAAUACGGGUGGAUAGGGGGGGAGAAGUGCUCAGCCAGCCUAUCGCGAUACAUGGUUUAUAAUUGACAAAAAUCUCGAUUUGUGGUUCAUCAAGAAGUGGGCGUGUCUUCGCAGAAACUAAAUUCCACCUAACGUGUAACGAGGGAAUGAAAUCGAUUCUUAAAAAAAAUAAAUAAAUAAAAAGAUAGGUGCAUAGUUAAUUUAUCUACAUUCCAGUGUCCGAUUUUCGAAAUUACCGUCGAGCCGUCAGAGGAUUACAUCUUGUAAUUCCGUACAUGGAAUAUUACAGCAGGACGAAGUGCAUACACUGGGGGGGGGGGAAGUCAAUUAACCAAAGAAAUAUUUUGUCAGUUCAAAGAAUAAUUAUUUUACUCAAAUGAAUUGUCACAAUUCUGAGGAAAUGUUGCAUGAAAUUUAUUAGUCGAGUUUACCCGAGUGAAAUAAUUAUUCUUUGAAUGAACAAAAUAUGACUUUGGUGGCUCAAAGAAAUAUUUCUUUGGUUCAAUGACAUGUUUCUCUCUCGUGUGAUCGCUCCCGAUAAUUGUCCUCUUUUUCAUUUUAUCCUCCCACGUUUGCAGUCCAACCGAUCGAGGUUUACUCAAAUUUAUUAGGAAUACGUCGACCUGUCUUUCGAAAGUCUUUUCCUCUUUCCUUCUCGUCGGAGCAUGGAAAGCACCAGUUUUGAAUGUUGUUCCCGGCUUCCAUCCAUAAGGACCAUUUUCCCGUGACAAUGCCACGGGAAAAUGGGCCUUACCGCGAAGCGGGCAACUCGACCACGGUACCGCGGUUCUGUAUUUGAAUUCCAUUUAUCGAAAUUGAGUUUUGUUCAAGAAGGGCGUUUCUUUUUAACUCUGCACCUAGGACGAAAUGUGCUUACCCUUCCCUGUGUAAUCCUCCAAUAAUUGUCUUCCGUUUCCAGGACACGUACCCGCGGCCAUGCUCUCACCACAGAAGUUUGAAAUUAAAUUGACCGGAAGUCGAUUGAUCUAGACCCUCGUUUAAUGCAUUUCCCAUCGUCGCAGAAGUGAGUUAGUAUCCCAAAAACCGGACAUCUCUUAAUUCCGUACAUAUCGAGGAAAAGAAGUCAAUAAUUCGGAGCUCUCUUCUCCUCGCUCUUCCCGCGAGACGCCAUUACGCUACACAUCGCCCAUAAAAUUCGACGCUUCUUGAGAGAAUCGGUUCUCCUUCCUUUAAGGUGUUAUGAAAGUGUCAUAUAUACGGGUCGCAAAUAGACGUACAUGGUGUGUGCAUCAACUCUUUCAUAAAUUUCGAUAUAUCACUAUAUUACUUUUGGCAGGAAUGUCGUAACUCUAGUCACGCAUGGCGCAAUGCCCGUCGGGAAAGGCCCGCUAAGAACUUUCCAAAAUGGAUUUUCGAAAUUUCCCUCAACCCCACGUUCCCCAAAAGAGUUCUCUCACUUGUUUUCCACUUUUGUGCCGCCACGUUUAAACCUCGUUUCAAAAAAUAGGACUUCGAACUCACGAGAUCUCGUCGUUAAUUGACAUCGACUGAACCUAACCCCAAAAAUGGCGCCGACUGUUGCGAAUGUGUUUUUUCAUAAAAAAUUCAGGACCUUUCGCGUAUUCCGGGCAUUGGGCGGCGACGUAAUAUGUAUUUCACUGUAUAAGCUUUCAAUAAUCGAAGGCGUAGAAACAAUGGUUAGAGAGGACGUCGUUCGAGGUUAUGACUUAAGCUACGGUAGUAAUAAAAAUAAUAAUAGCAGUAAUGACAAUAAUAUAAUAUAAUAUAUAAUAUAAUAGCAAUAAUAAUAAACGUUAUCGUUAUCAGCAAUAUAUCCAAUGUAUAAUAAUUACUCAAUAUAUACAAUAUAUAGCUAUAUAUGCCGCAGAAGGGGGCGAGGUUUCGGCGAGAAAUUAAAAAAAGCUCCGAUUGUCUGCAAAAACUCGCUAAUGAGGAAACGCUCUCUCCACGUAUGUACAAUAAAAUCACAAAUCGAGGGUUGUUAAACAAGAAGAGUUAGGAGAAACGAGGGAGAAAGAUCGUAAAACGCCAAACUUGGCCGCGAAAAAUCGCGCACGGAAAUUCGUACAGGGACUGUACAAAGAUGGCGGCGCUUUCGAAAAUGUCCGCCAGAGCACGCGCCACGGAUUCCUCUAUUUAGGGACUCUGAAAUGGUUUUUCGGUAGAGCUAACCUCAAAACCUCGUACAUAACGUCGACACCUCGUACAUAACCUCGAAACCUCGCGACCUUCUUCGACUCGUGGAUCAAAAAUGGAAGGAAUACGGUGUCUAUCUUACAAGCCGAGUAUAUGUGGAGGUGCCGUAGUGUAAUACAGUGCACGUAACGCGCUAGUGUCUGCGCACUUCCCUGCCACUUUCGACGAUACUUGGCGCAGAUCUGCCGGGAGAAAAAAGUAUUUCCAUUUGAUGAAAAUUGAGAAAUUACGGACUUAAUUUGCGUACCAAAAUCACAUGGGAAUUAACGGUGAAUGUCAAGAAAUCUUAUUCCUUAUAUUCGUAUCGAGUAAUUAUUUAUAUUUAUGGCACUAAAUUUUUCCUUCCGACUUUGUCACGAUUCGUGACCAAGUGUACACCACUAAGUUCACAGCGAUCCAAAUCUCGUCCCUUCGUUUACUUUCAUUAAACGACACGAUUCCUCACAGUGGUUCAAUUUUAGGAUUCGUUGCGGCAUUCCCAAGGAGCCUUCUUUAGAAAUCCAGUCGAAGACACGUCUUUAAAUAAAUCUUGCAAAGUCCAAAGGCUCGAAACAGCGUGAGUCUUCAUGGCCCGAUAAAGCGAAGCUUGACGAAAGGAUCGAUGAAAAGCUAUAAUUCUUGAGGACGAUGUUCAUGCAUUGAUGGGCAUGUCAGAAAUGGGUGCCACUGGUGCUAAAUCCGUUCACUGGGAAUAAAUGUGAUCAGCGUGAAGGGUCAAUGUUUGUUGUCUGACUACUUUCCUAGGGAGCAUUUGACGACUGACGACUAUACCUCUAGGAGGUGAUACAGUUGAAAAAGUCUUAAAUACGGGGCUGUAGUCGAGCGUAGAAACAUGAAAAAGAAAGCCUCCGAUGCGUCGUACUCUUUCGACUUGGAGUACCUAAAUUCCUAACCUACACAUGCGGCGACUGAAUAGCUUCUCACGUGCCUGGCAAUCCAAAUUCCCCUUUUCGCCCAAUUUUUACUCAUCCUUAGGCCGUGUACUGAAUCCGGAAUCGUCUGUACGAUCCUUCCGAAGGACAGAGACUCAUUUUGAGUAAACCGACCAGAAAUUAACUUAGAAACGGGACAUAAAUGAGUGUAUCGAAUUUAACAUCGCUCAAUGAGAAUUCCCUUAAAUUGAUUAAACAAUAAUUAAAGCAUGAAACAUGAAAGCGCUUUCAACUCGCCAAAACUUAUAACCAUAAACAAUAUGUACGAAGUGGACCCAUGGUAACAAAAUGUGAAGUUAAUAGUAUGAACACGUUGAGUGAGCGAAGUGUGACCUUGAAUAUUUUCAGAUUGGCGUAGCAUAUAGCGGAUGGUUCUGAAAGAUCUGAAGAAAAUUACAGGCGCUACAAAACGGAACGUACUUUCAUCAUGUCCACAAUUUCGAUCCGAGUAAUUUUUACGUGAUAUAUCCUUUUUAUCCCAUUUCCGUUAUUUGGUAGGUUUUCACAAAUCGAGUCGGCAUUUUCCUAUCCGGUUAAUCGUACAGAAGAACCUCUGUCGACAACCGACCGCGUCAUUUCCGUUCUCUCUUCCCUCGCAUCGACGGCGGUAUACACUUUACACUAGGUUACAGUAGAAACGCACGAAUAUCUUAAUACGACUUAUACAGCUCUUAGACGCUUAAUUAAAAUAUGACAGUCAUCGUUAAUGUUAACACACUCUCGGCCUCCCGCGCGUCGCUUCGGGGAGAAGUUCGAAGACUUCCAAUAUGGCGGCCAAGAUGGCGGUUGUGCAUCCAAAAUGGCGGCCGUCACGGCCGACAACUCGGAUCAGUCGAUCGGGGGAAGGAACUGCGCGACGUGCAAAUCAUUCCAACUUCCACUCUGGUCUUCGAACUUCGCGCGGCAACGAUUAACCAUCGUCAUCACGGAUCGCGCGUCUUCGUCACACCACAUAGUCCAUCGGCUCGCUCCUGUGAUCGUUAU